rnacentral:pre_miRNA from 1 species
GCGCAAGGCAUCUGGGGAUCUUGCUAAACAUAAAUGCAGGUUCUGAUUUGUAGGUCUGGGGAGAGGCCUGAGAGUGUGCAUUUCCAACAAGCUCUCAGAUGUCUCUGCU